rnacentral:lncRNA from 1 species
AGAGCAGCCACUGGAGUCGGAGAAGGAGCUGGGAGCAGAGGGAGCUCCAGUCGGAGCCAACGUUGGAGCCAGGACUCCAGGGACCAGAACUUUUCUUGGGGCGAGUGUGGGCCCUGGGCCAGCCUCCCCUGGUCCCCGCCUACCUUUCAGCCUCAGGUCCCGACCCUCCCUCCUGGAGGCCACCGGUGUUACCCUCCCCAGCAGGGGAGAACAAACUUUCUUAGGGAAACCACCUCUGCUGCCUUGCUGGCCAGACAGAACCAACAGACAGCUGGACAGACAGAUGAACAGAUGGACAGGGCAUCUGCGAGGCUGUCCUCCCAGUCCUGCCUCUGACGGGCUGCAGCAGAGUGGGCAGCCGAGGGGCCUCCAGGGGCACCAGGGACAGCGAGGGCCCCUGCUGAACCUUUGUUCACCUGCCAGCCACCUCUGAGUCCAGGCGGCUGGACGCUGCUUCCCCAGGCCCACCCAGCACUGUGGCUGGAAGGCCGGUGGCUCAAGACAGCAGUUCCCACCAGCCAGAGCCACAGGCUCUUCCACCCACCGAGGCGACGGGGAACCUGAGUGAAAAGGCACAGGUGGCAGGUGGGCAGGUGCAGGGUCCUGAAGCCAACAGGCUACUGACCCUGGAGCACACUGGCUCGGGGACCCCUGCCCAGGCGAGGGACGAUGCUGCCGAGGCCACCACCAGCCACCCUUGCCCCGUCCUGGAGCUGCCUCCGGCCUGGCCCCUGGGCUGUGGAGUGGAGGAUGUGCCAGCCUUCUGCUUCGUCUGUUUCCACAGGGAGGAGGAGGAGGAGCUGCUGGAAGAGGUCCCACUGCAGAGGCCUCCCAGGGAUUGGAUGCUGAGGCCACCAAGAUGAACAUGACAUGGGCACGUCCCUGGAGGAGCCCAGCCAGGACCCCCUGGGACAGUGGCAGCAGGCAGUGCAACGAGCUGCGAUUGAGGUGUGAACACUGCGCCCUCAUCAUCGCGAGAUGAUGCAAGACACCACCCCUCGGGGAGCACAUCUGCAUUUGAUGACAGCUUGUCCGCUAAAGCAUCUUCCUAUUUGCUGCUUGAUGUGGAACUAAGGCGAGGCUCGCUGCCUUAACAAACAAGCCUGGACCCGCGUGGCCUCACAGGGCAGAGCCACCUGUGCUGCUCCUGCAAAGCCCAGAGGGGGCUGGAGACUGGGGGAGACUUCUCUACUCAGUCUUUGGGGGAUCCAGGCUCCUCCCACCCUGUGACACUGUCCUCACGUGGGGCCUCCCAGGAAUCCAUGGCUGGAUCCUCUCUCUGCUUCCACUGGCAGAUGAAGCAGAAAGAGGGUGUUGAUCACAUGAGAGGGUUUUCUUCUCUUCUACCCCCACUCCUUGGCCAGAGUCGCUAAUUGCAAGAGAUACUGGGAAACGUAGUCCUGUUGUGAAAAUGGUACAAAUUGGUAUCCGUGAGAGCACCUGGCACGGAGUUGGUGCCCAGCGUGUUUGUGAGGAAUGCGUCCGAGCAUUCUACGGAUGUCACCGAGCACCCUCAGUGGACAAGAACUAGACCCUGGACAGUGAAAAUACCCAUCCUGCUCUCACUGGGCUUUUAUGGAAUGUGUCCGACAAAACACAAGUAAACAGGAGUUCCCCGGUGGCUCAGUGGGUUAAGGACCUGAGUUGCUGUCCCUGCUGUGGCUCCAGAACUUUUGUAUGUCAGGGGUGUGGCCAAAAAAACCCAAGUAAACAAAGCAACUUUGAAUUCUUAUGGUGGCUCAGCAGGUUAGGAACCUGAUAUUGCGUUCAUGAGGAUGCAGGUUCGAUCGCUGGCCUCUCUCACUGGGUUAGAUCCAGCGUUGCCGCAACCUGUGGCAUAGGUCACAGAUGUGGCUUGGAUCUGGCGUUGCUGUGGCUGUGGUGUAGGCUGGCAGCUGCAGCUCCAAUUCAACCCCUAGCCUGGGAACUUCUAUAUGCUGCAGGUGCAGCUGUGAAAGAAAAAAGAAAAUGAAAAAAAACAAAACAAAAAAAAAAAAAAA